rnacentral:rRNA from 1 species
GUGUCAGCAGCCGCGGUAAUACGAAGGGGGCGAGCGUUGUUCGGAUUUACUGGGCGUAAAGGGCGCGCAGGCGGCGAACCAAGUCAGGCGUGAAAGCCCCGGGCUCAACCUGGGAAUAGCGUUUGGGACUGGUUUGCUAGAGUUCGGGAGAGGAGCGUGGAAUUCCCAGUGUAGAGGUGAAAUUCGUAGAUAUUGGGAAGAACACCGGUGGCGAAGGCGGCGCUCUGGACCGAGACUGACGCUGAGGCGCGAAAGCGUGGGGAGCAAACAGGAUUAGAUACCCCCGUAGUCC